rnacentral:SRP_RNA from 1 species
UUUGUUGAGCAGUGUUGAUAGUCGGGUUCUAUGCAACUGGGGGCUAUGAACCCCGUCAGGUCCGGAAGGAAGCAGCGGUAAAUAGCAAUUCCAGUGUGAUAUAGAGUUGCCUGGUUGGAGCCAGCUGGCAGAG